UACGUAGGGGGCAAGCGUUGUCCGGAUUUAUUGGGCGUAAAGAGCGUGUAGGCGGCUUGGUAGGUCUCGCGUCAAAACCUGAGGCUCAACCUCAGUUCGCGUGGGAAACCACCUAGCUAGAGUCCGGAAGAGGAGAACGGAAUUCCCAGUGUAGCGGUGAAAUGCGCAGAUAUUGGGAAGAACACCAGUGGCGAAGGCGGUUCUCUGGGACGGUACUGACGCUGAGGAGCGAAAGCGUGGGGAGCAAACAGG
rnacentral:rRNA from 1 species